rnacentral:lncRNA from 1 species
AGUAAUCCGCGUGGUUGGUUGUUUUGUCACAAUACGCCAUGUCGUCGUCAUCGUCGCCGCCUCCCCCUCCGCCGAGCUCGGCCCAAUCCCCGCCGCCAUCAAACCCCACUCCGCCGCCGUCUCCCCCGUCUCCGGCGACUCCUUCGCCGUCGUCUUCUCCGCCUCCGGCGACCCCCUCCGCCUCGCCUCCGCCGCCGCCNGCAAGUACACAUGUUCCCUUUCUAAACUUUCCAUAAACUCAUGUUGUUUAUUUGUUAUUGAUACGCGUGACAAAAAUUUAAGACUAAUAUAUAUAAACCAGUGGGACAUAGAUAAAAAUGUUGUUGUGACAUGGUCUUUUUACUUGUCUUAUUUAGGUGAUAUAUAGGUUCUAUAUGAACAACCCUUCUUUUCAUUUGUAGGCAAUUUUUUAGGUGAUGUGUGUAGAAGAUGUUGUAAACUGUUACAAGGAGUUGAUCAACUGAUUGGGGAAGCUAAAUUAAGCCUUCUAUUUGCAGAAGCAAAAUGCUUCUUAGUUUAGCUUCAACUAAAAGUUGUUUUGGGGGAGAAUAUAUUAAUGGAGAAAUUGUUAUUAUUUUCUGAAACUGUACUUGAAUAGCAACUCUAGCAAAACGUACACUCUUUCUUUUAACAUUGGUUUUAGCUAUUCUUUAAUUUUGUGAAUAAAUUUUAGCUAUUGGUUAAUUAUGUGAAUAAUAAUAUCAGGUUACAAAACCCAGUUCUCUAAAUAUAGCUAAUUUUUUCCAUAGUUAAUUAUGCUUAAUUUAAUAUGCUAUUUAUGCUUCUCACUAUGUUACAGCUACUUCGAUUGGUAAGCAUAUCUUCGAAUUAUUUAUAAGCUAAAGAAUGCUGCUUUUAUAGUUUUUAUAUGGUAAAGAAAAAUGAUUUUUGCUGAAAUCUUUUGGACGCCAUAAAUAUAUUAGAGUUUUUUAUUUUCCAACUUUUGUGUUAUUCUAAAAGCUAAGUGAAACGGGUAUUUAGAGUGAACUGUGCUGCCGUGUUGUUAGGCGUAACUAGGGAUGUCAAUCGAUCGGAUUUGGAGUGGAUUUUUAAAAAUUCAAAUCCUAAUCCGACUCCAAACUCGAAAUCCAAACCUGAAUUCGAACCCGAUCCCGUACCCGAUGAAUNAUUUUAAAAAUUCAUAUUCAAACCCGAAUCCGACUAAAAAUUCGAAACCCGAACUCAAGCCCGAAAUUUAAAAUCCAAACCCGAAACAAUUAUUUCUCUCUUCAAUAUUUCAAAAUAUAUUACAUUAAAUCUAAAUUUUUAAAAUACAAAUUCAAAUAUAACUUCAAAUUUUUAUAUACAUAUAAUGUAAAAUAAAUUCGGGUUCGGGUCGGUUGGGGUUCGGAUUGAGUUCAGUCAAAAUUCAUAUCCGAAUUCAUAUACGUCGAGUUUUUGUUUUUAAUAUCCAUAUUCAAAAUUAUAUCCGUUUAGUAUCGAAUAAAUUUGCUCCGUUCGAAUUCGAAUUUAGAUAAAAUUUCGGAUACCCAUACCCACUAACAUCCCUAAGCAUAACUACUUCUUAAAAAUGAAAUAAUAAUGAUAAAUAAUAAUGAUAUAAAUACUAAUUAAGAAUGAAUUGCUGUACAGCUAUGAAUGAGAACGUUUCAGCUUCACAAAUUUAAUUAUUGAGAGCUCCUAUGUCACAACCGCGUGCAUACAUAUUCCACCAAUUUGUUCUCAUUCUCUAAUAAAUGAGACAACAUUUUCCAGGUCAACAAUUUCCUACUAGUUAUUAUCCACAGUAAUUCAAAAAUUUACUACUAAAGUAUCACCCUUUUUAUAGUAUGAUAAUCAAAAAUAUAAUUUAGCCAUGCAUAUAUUAUAUAAAAUUUUGGCUAAAUUUCUAGUUUGAAUUUUGUAAAUUAUUGUAAUCAAGUUUUAUAUUCCAAUUUAGUGCACUUAAUAUUGACAUAUCACUAAUAUAAUUUCUUAAUCAUUGUCGCAUGAUUAAUCAUAAUACAGUUAUAUUACUUUCACAUUGACAAUACAUUAAUAUUUAGUUAAAUAAAUUAGAUUGUGUGACUUAAUUGCUAUAAUUGUAAAGAUUCGAAUAAAAAAUUACAAUAUAUUAAAAUUUCAGAACCAUAGUUUGGCCACUAAAAGUGUAAUUUCGUUGAAAAAUUCAUGACUAUGUGUUUGGUAGAAACGAAUGGGACCUAGUCACAAUAUUGAAAGAGUAUGGGGGCCACCCGUGCAUUUUAUUUGCCCUUUAUACCUGUAUCUAAAUAAAAUACUUAGCAACUAAUCUGCACGUAAACGUAGUUGCGUUCAGAUGGAGAAGUUCGUGCAUGAAAAGCAUACAUAUAACAUUUUUUUUUUGUUUUACGUUAACAUAAGAUCAAAAAAGAUAUAUCGUAAUCAAUUUAUACAUUAAAUUAGUUAAAGUAUAAACUAGCGAUUUUUGAUAAUUAACAAGUAGGAGAUUUUGAACUUCUUUUUAGUUUUCUGGUUGUUUAAUGUUUUCAUUAAUAAAAAAAAAAUUGCUUAUUCAUAAUAAUCGAUCAUGAAUUUGUCGUUUUACAUUUGAAAUUUUUAAUUAAUCACCGACGUGUAGACCGCGUACGUUCAUGCAGUAAUAAUAAUAAUUUCUCGUUUGGAUGGGACGCGGUUGACUUUUGUGAUUAUCUUAAAGAAAUAUUUAACAUGCUAAUAAUAAUAUUCUCUCUAAUAUUAAUUUCUUUCCAAAUCCCAGUAUUUCUCCGCAAUUUCGUGGUCUUAUAUUGGACAAUUUUGUUUCCAUUUUUUUUUUUUUUCAAUUUCCUUUAUUUUUAUAUUUAUUUUAUUAAUUCAAACUCAAAGCUCCAAAAGAGGGAGUAAUCCGCGUGGUUGGUUGUUUUGUCACAAUACGCCAUGUCGUCGUCAUCGUCGCCGCCUCCCCCUCCGCCGAGCUCGGCCCAAUCCCCGCCGCCAUCAAACCCCACUCCGCCGCCGUCUCCCCCGUCUCCGGCGACUCCUUCGCCGUCGUCUUCUCCGCCUCCGGCGACCCCNNNNNACCCGCCCCCGCCGCCGCCCACGGCACAGCCCCCGGAGAACCCGCC